rnacentral:rRNA from 1 species
CCUACGGGUGGCAGCAGUAGGGAAUAUUGCUCAAUGGGGGAAACCCUGAAGCAGCAACGCCGCGUGGAGGAUGAAGGAUUUAGGAUUGUAAAGCUCUUUUGUUAGAGAAGAUAAUGACGGUACCUAACGAAUAAGCACCGGCUAACUACGUGCCAGCAGCCGCGGUAAUACGGAGGGUGCAAGCGUUAUCCGGAUUCACUGGGGGUAAAGAGUGCGUAGGCGGGGGCACAAGUCUGAAGUGAAAUCCCGUAGCUUAACGACGGAACUGCAUUGGAAACUGUGCAUCUGGAGUGUAGGAGAGGUAGGUGGAAGUCUUGGUGUAGGGGUGAAAUCCGUAGAUAUCAAGAGGAAUACUCGUUGCGAAGGCGGCCUACUGGAACGUAACUGACGCUGAUGCUCGAAAGCGUGGGGAGCAAACAGGAUUAGAUACCCUUGUAGUC